GUGAGGAAUAUUGCGCAAUGGAGGCAACUCUGACGCAGCCAUGCCGCGUGCAGGAAGAAGGCGCUACGCGUUGUAAACUGCUUUUAACAGGGAAGAAACCCCAGGACGUGUCCUGGGUUGACGGUACCGGAGGAAUAAGCACCGGCUAACUUCGUGCCAGCAGCCGCGGUAAUACGAAGGGUGCAAGCGUUAUCCGGAUUCAUUGGGUUUAAAGGGUGCGUAGGCGGAGCGUUAAGUCAGUGGUGAAAUCCUGCAGCUUAACUGUAGACUUGCCAUUGAUACUGGCGCUCUUGAGUGCGCUUGAAGUGGGCGGAAUGUGCCGUGUAGCGGUGAAAUGCUUAGAUAUGGCACAGAACACCAAUUGCGAAGGCAGCUCACUAAGGCGAUACUGACGCUGAGGCACGAAAGCGUGGGGAUCGAACAGGAUUAGAUACCCUAGUAGUCC
rnacentral:rRNA from 1 species